GUCGUAGCGAACAGAUAAGGAGCUUGCUCCUUUGACGUUAGCGGCGGACGGGUGAGUAACACGUGGGUAACCUACCUAUAAGACUGGAAUAACUCCGGGAAACCGGGGCUAAUGCCGGAUAAUAUUUAGAACCGCAUGGUUCUAAAGUGAAAGAUGGUUUUGCUAUCACUUAUAGAUGGACCCGCGCCGUAUUAGCUAGUUGGUGGGGUAAUGGCUUACCAAGGCAACGAUACGUAGCCGACCUGAGAGGGUGAUCGGCCACACUGGAACUGAGACACGGUCCAGACUCCUACGGGAGGCAGCAGUAGGGAAUCUUCCGCAAUGGGCGAAAGCCUGACGGAGCAACGCCGCGUGAGUGAUGAAGGUCUUCGGAUCGUAAAACUCUGUUAUUAGGGAAGAACAAAUGUGUAAGUAACUGUGCACGUCUUGACGGUACCUAAUCAGAAAGCCACGGCUAACUACGUGCCAGCAGCCGCGGUAAUACGUAGGUGGCAAGCGUUAUCCGGAAUUAUUGGGCGUAAAGCGCGCGUAGGCGGUUUCUUAAGUCUGAUGUGAAAGCCCACGGCUCAACCGUGGAGGGUCAUUGGAA
rnacentral:rRNA from 1 species